rnacentral:tRNA from 1 species
GGUCCCAUCGUCUAGUUGGGCCUAGGACACCGGCCUGUCACGCCGGCAACAUGGGUUCGAAUCCCAUUGGGACCGCCA